CGACGGGUGAGUACACGUGGGCAAUCUGCCCUUCACUCUGGGACAAGCCCUGGAAACGGGGUCUAAUACCGGAUAAUACUCUGUCCCGCAUGGGACGGGGUUGAAAGCUCCGGCGGUGAAGGAUGAGCCCGCGGCCUAUCAGCUUGUUGGUGGGGUAAUGGCCUACCAAGGCGACGACGGGUAGCCGGCCUGAGAGGGCGACCGGCCACACUGGGACUGAGACACGGCCCAGACUCCUACGGGAGGCAGCAGUGGGGAAUAUUGCACAAUGGGCGAAAGCCUGAUGCAGCGACGCCGCGUGAGGGAUGACGGCCUUCGGGUUGUAAACCUCUUUCAGCAGGGAAGAAGCGAAAGUGACGGUACCUGCAGAAGAAGCGCCGGCUAACUACGUGCCAGCAGCCGCGGUAAUACGUAGGGCGCAAGCGUUGUCCGGAAUUAUUGGGCGUAAAGAGCUCGUAGGCGGCUUGUCACGUCGGAUGUGAAAGCCCGGGGCUUAACCCCGGGUCUGCAUUCGAUACGGGCUAGCUAGAGUGUGGUAGGGGAGAUCGGAAUUCCUGGUGUAGCGGUGAAAUGCGCAGAUAUC
rnacentral:rRNA from 1 species